UACAAUGAUCUCUGAUCCCAAUUCCAAAUCAUUGAUCCUAUAACUGUGAAAGUUCCUUCCAAUUUUAAAUCAAUGCUCCUACGUUUGUUUAACUGAGGAAUGUCACACAUGGUAGAAUCCAAAUGCAAAAGGUUGUUUAGGGAAGAGGGGCUUUCCUGGUCCCAUAAAUCACAACAAUAUGGUUAUCUGGAUUCUCCCUAAUUCUAUUACUCAAAGGGGCACAGGAUUUGUGGUCCCUAGAAAUCUCUUUCCCCCACAAUAUAAAGGAGACCUGAUAUUAAUCUGACACCAACAGUCUGAAAACCAUGUGAGAAGUAGUCAGAAGGAAGCUUACCUUUGGUCCUCUAUAAAACAAGAAGCUCAGACAAGAUGAUUCCUAAGGCUUAAAUUUUAUGAUGGGAGGAUUGGGGAAGAGUUGAUCAGGUCACCCUUGAUCAUUCCAUUCCCUGUUCUCAGCACAAUUGAAAAAUGUCAAAAAUUAACAGAGAUGAUCAAGUUUAAACAUAUUAAAUGGGAUGCAAACAGAUGCCCAUGUCUUGUCAGCCAUUAUGAAGUGGAAAGUAUUCCCCGUCAGAUUUGGGGGCAUUGCUCUGAUCCGGCCCCAGGUGGCCUUGAUGAAAUCACUUAGGUGGUUCUGGAAGCCACAAGGGGUCGGAAUAAUUUCAUGAAGUGUGAGCCCUGGCAGCUUGAUAAAGAGCUAGUUAUGGAGAAAGAAGCCAGCUCCUAAGAGAUGAUCCCCGCCUUUACCUCUCAGUGAUUUCCACCAAAAGAUCAGUAACAGCAAUAUUAUAGAAUGAUCAAUUGUGAUAGACUCAGCUACUCUCAGCAAUACAAUGAUCCAGGAUAAUUCUGGGGGACUUAUGGCCAAGAAUGCUAUUUACCUCCAGGGAAAGGACUGCUAGAUUUGGAAUGUAGAUGAAAGCAUAUGAUUUUCCACUUGUUUUUUGUUUGUUUGUUUUGGGGUUUCGGUUUUAUAUGAUUAUUCAUUUAUAAAAAUAGUUUGCCAGCUUCAUGAGGGAGAAGGGAAGGGAUGGAGGAAGAUAAGUUCAAGCAUAUAACUUUGGAAAAUUUAUGUGGAAGUUUGUUAUUAAAUGUAAUUGGUUAAAAAAAUAAAAAUAAGAACAGUUAACAGACCCAGAGACUUCAGAGGGGCAAUGGAGGUGACUCCAUGGAAUAGAACCCCUGGAAACAGAGAAGAAAUCUAACUGCAGAUCCAAGACAGAAUUAGUUUCAGAACUCAGGAGUUGAUCUUCAAAGACGAGUGCAUCCAAGGAGACCAAAUGAGCAAUCUGCCCAGAAGAAACUCUGCAUCUUAAGGGGAGCAGCAUGAGGACACCAUGGGAAGAGGCAGGUAGGAUAGAGCAUGGAGCCUAGGAUUAAGACUACCUGAGUUCAAAUCCAGCCUCACACCCUUACUGGCCAUAUGGCCUUGGGCAAGUCACUUACCUUCUAUUUGCCUCAGUUUCCUCAUCUGUAAAAUGACCAUCAGAGUAGCAUCUACCUCUUAAUGUUGUUAUAAGGAUCAAAAGGGAUGAUAACACAUUCUGAUCUUGGAAGGCCCCUUGGUCUUCAUGAUUGAUCCAUUAUGAAGAGGAAAGGAGAAACAUGGAUAUAAGUUGCUUUUGCCAUGUUCAUUCCCUAUUUAUGUGCCUCACCAUCAGAUUACCUGAAGUAUGUGCCCAUUCUUCUCACUAAAACUGUGGGUAAUUGUAGGCCUUAUAAGGGGAAUGUAUUCUAGCUACUGCUUUUACCAUGCCUUUUGCUUUGAGCUAAUCAUGUCCACUGGCUGAUUGUUAAAGGUCGAUGCAUCAGAGUGGGCUCUUGAGGCACGGUUUUAGAAGUGCUGCAGACCCACAGAGUACCAGAGGUGGGUGUCCUCUAGGAUUGAAAGAGGACGCUCUCUUCUCUCCUCUCCUGCCCCAGUGUUCUUUGUCUCAGCUUCUCUCUCAGCUCUGACAUGCAUACUCUCUCUUUCUCCUAUCUCCCAACCCCCCAUUGUCUCUUCCCUCUCUAGGACCCUCCCCUACCACCCACAUCUUCAGUGGAACACAUGUUGCCAUCCUCAUAAACACACUCUGAUCUUGGAAGGCCCCCCUGGUCUUCAUGAUUGAUCCAUUAUGAAGAGGAAAGGAGAAACACAGAUCUUUCAUUAAUCCCCUGCUUUAAUUAAUUAUUAUAUUGGCUUUCAACUUGGGUGGGGGAGAGGGCAUCCCUUAAAACAGGGUGUUUUUUUUUAAUUUUUAAAAACCUACCACAUUCUCUCUUCCACAAAAUAUGAGGCACCUCUUUUAGGGCUUUGGGGGUUAUUUAUUGCAGGGGAGAGAAAUAUAAUGGGGAGGGGGAGAGACUUAGGGGACAACUUUUACAUUUCAAUGGGAUGCUGAAGGCAUAGGAUAUGCUGACAAAGCAUGCUGUGUGGCUUUUCUUCAGCCAGGACGGCAUUAUUUUUCCAAGAUCAUCAUUUUAGGGUACUGAAAGACACCCCAGAAAUUGUUUAGCCACUUCUCUGAAUCCUCUUUUGCAAAGUAGGAAAUCAAGACCCAUACAGGUCCCCCAAUUAUUUGGGGGGGGCAAAGUCACGAUUCAGACCUAGCUCCCUCAAUGCCCAAUCCAACACUUUCCUCUGGAUGCUGAAGAGCAUAUUCUUUUUCAGACACAGGCUAAUACUGGCUGAGGUCCUGUCUGUACUCUACAUAAUCCACAGAGACCUUCCUUAAAGGCACAUCUGACCACAUCACUCCCCACCUCAGCAAACUAGUGGCUCUUUCCUGCCUCUAUGACAAGACAGAAACUCCUCUGUCCAUCCUUGGAAAACUCUUCACCACCUGGUCCCAACCUAGCUUUCCAACUUCACUGAUACUACUUCUCCUCGGUGGAUGACUCUAUGACUCAGCCAAACUGUCCUUCUCUUUAUUCUUUGAACAUGCAUCAUUCAGAGAAGAUGUCCAGAAGAGGUUCAUAGGAUUUUCUGGACUGCCAUGGGGUCCACAAUUCCAUAAAGGUUAAGAACUCCAUCACUAAAAAAUUAGGCUGAAGGCUCAUGAGCUCGAUGGGGGCGAUGGAUGAGAUCAUCUCUCAGUUCUUGGGUGCUCUGACGCAUUGUGUCUAAGGCAGAGUCCAUGAGUCUAGGGAAGAGGCACUGACCCAAACCUUCCACCAGAUGGCGCCAUGAGGCAACAUUCGCACCUGCAGCUCUCCUCAGCAUCAGCAUCCAAUCCCUACACUGAUGCCAGGUGGAUCUGUCUCCCUGCCUUUGUCUUCUCAGGGUUGUUCAGAACCAUCAAAGCCCAGAACUGUCACUUCAGAACACCCCACACUGUAGCCCUGUAAUAAAACGGGUCUUAAAAUCA